GUUUGUUUUGUGAGACAGUCGCUCUCGGACGCUUGUGGGUGAAACUUUAAUAUGAAAUUGUCCCUCAUCUGCCUUGGCCUGGUGGCCGUCUCCCUCCAAGUCGGAUUCUCGCACGCCGUCUCUCCCUCCAACGGGGUGUCCUGGCUGCUCGGCGAGGAGGCCUUCGACUGGGGCAGCGUCGAGGACCCGGCGAGUCCCGCGCGCUGCCUGGCCAACAUCGCCGUCGCCAGCUUGCUUUGGGCUGUGUAUUCGCGGUACACGAUAUAAAGCGCAUUCUGGGAGGAUUUAUAUUUAUUAAAAGGUGUUUAUAAAA